UCUAAAGAAGAUAUAAGUGUAUGGAGUUUCAGCCUAUUUAUAUGAAAGGCAGCCCUCAGCCCUGCAACGCCAAUACAUCAUGUCAGUGUCCCUAUGUAGUCUUUCAUAUAUAUCAUCACGCACCACUGAUAGUUGAAGCUGCCAGCAUGAUCUAGCUAUCCAUCCCUCCUUUAGUUUAUCUUUCAGGGAGAAAACUAGAUCAUAUGGCAGCUUCAUCUGUCCAUGGUAGCAUGAAUAAAACCCUAAUACAAAUCAUCCCACAAAACCCUAUUUUCGGAUACAAAACCCUGGUAUUGAAAAAGAUUUAUUUGAAGGAUCUUAUACAAGGAUGUUUGUUAGGGUUUAAGUGACCAGAUUCCUUUUACUUGGGCUUUGAUAAAGUGUUAAAUACAGGAUUGCAAGACCUGACACUUUUCACUACAUUUUUUCAAUCUCAAUUCUUACUUACCAAAAAAAAAAAAGGAGCUGUCCUAACAUUUAUAGGUUUUGAAGCUCAAUCAAAGUGAACAAUAUUGUUUGAUAAGGGUCAAUCCUCCACUGCAAAUCUGCAUCACUCAUGAGUAAAGAUCAGCUCUCUGUCACUUUGUGGUCCUAGUAAUAGGCUUUUCUGGAAAUAGAAACAUCAAAUUUCUAUUUCUUUUUUUAAAGAUAGAAAUCCCAAGUCCCAAGUUCUCAAAGGAAUGGACAGAUGAGUCAACUUUCUACGCCAUGAUUGUGAUGCCACUGCCUGAUUUCUGGGAUAUACAGUCAUUACUUACCCACCUCAAAAUAUGCUAUGACACAGUGCAUGUACACUGAUCCAUGUACAUGCGCAUAUAAUAAGCCAUGAUUUCAGAUCGGUUUCAAAGUAUUUCAAUUUGUUUGAGCUUAGUUGGACUUUUGGAUGUUGCACAUAGUUUCUUCUAUUUUUUAUUUUACAUUAUAAUAUUUAAUUUUAUAA